rnacentral:rRNA from 1 species
CACCGCGGUUAUACGAGAGGCUCAAGUCGAUAGAUACCGGCGUAAAAAGUGGUUAGCAUACCAUAAAACUAAAGCUAAACAUCUUCAGAGCUGUUAUACCCAUAUGAAGACAGGAAGUACUUAUACGAAAGUAGCUUUAAAUAAUGUUAUUCACGAAAGCUAGGAAA